ensembl:lncRNA
AUUGCACGGUGGCUGUAAAUGUAUGUAUGUAUGAGAAAUGUAUGUUUAAGUUAUAUCACACGGCCUUAAAAGUCUGUGGGUCUUUCCUAUAGAAAGUCCUACAGCAGCUGAUAAUUCCUCAGCUGGGUGACUCAUAAGCAGUGUGCCAAUUUGAGGGGAAAUGUUUUUUAAGUCUCCAAACACGUCUCCAGCAGCACCACAGACUGAGGAAACUGUGCUGCGGUGCGUGAGUGUGUGCGUUCCCAGCCCUGCACGUUCUGCCAGAGCAAUGAUUACGGCCUUCUUCGCUCCCCUGCUGCACGGUUUCUUGGAGCUUUUUUGCCCCACAGUUAAGAUUCCCCACGCAGAUUCACACCAUACCCCUGCAGACCGCGAGUUAUCGAAGCUCAUACAGGUAAAUGGUUUAACACAGUAAUCAGGCCAACCCGUCAUUUUCAGAUUUUGAAGGAAAUGCAAUGAUUUGAAUGCCUAUUUUUGCCUGCAUGGUUCGAUUUAGUGCCAUGAGGACAUCUUAAGACAUUUAUUUACAAUUGAGUUAUUACGUAAUUAUUCCUCCUUGCAAAUUCUAGUGCCCAGUUCCCACGGAGAUGGCUGAGAUGGGGAGCAGUGGGGUUUGGAUUGCUGCCUUUGUUGUUUAAGGCCCUUUUUGUAAGAUGAUCGCUGCUGUGUUUUUGCAAAUCUGAAUUCUGCAUUCUGCUAACCAGCACAUCCAAUCAACCUGAAAGGCUGGCUGAGUUACCCGCAUCACUGCUUCACUUCAGUGCUUCACACCUUCGUCCUGAAGGAAGGACACAAAAAUGUUACUCUGAUUGUCUUUGGUUUCUUCAGUUUUUCAUCCCCCUUCGAGUUGCACAGGCACCGAAGUAAAGGUGAGCCCACCUGCCAGUCUCUGGGACCCAAGUUUGGCUGUGUUUGGCUGCUUCCAUCAUACUCCACACAACGAAAUUAGGUCAUGACUUUUUGCCUCCCAGAGCUCCUCUAUGCACUGACUGGAGGCACCUUGAAGCUUAGCACAGAAUACCACGCCGAAGCCUUAGGAAUGAAAAGCAAAUAACAGCCAUGGUUCGGUAGCGAAGCAGCGCUCACUCCUGUAAUUUCUGACCUUUCAUUUUGGACGUGCGCUUACAAAACGAAGCUGUCAGAAUCCCAUUUUCCUGCUCCAAGUGAAAGGCUAUUGUCUGGAUCGCAGCCUCCUCCAGCCCUCCUCCACGCAUGGCUCCGCGUUGUUUUCCUCCGUAGCUCAGGAGUUAUGAAAGCUUUUAGCCAAAGUGGCAUUUCCUCCUCCUCCGCUCUGCUGUUGUCACAGCUGAUUUUAUAGAACAAAUCUAAUUUUACCUUCAGCAAGCUUCGUUGGUGUUUGUUUUUAACAGCAACUCUUCCAAUGAUAGCAAAAAUGUUCUUUUACACCAAGGGUUCAUUUCUGUGGAGAAAAAGAUCCUUUUGCCUGGCUUUCUCCAUAGCCCACGUUUUCCUAAAAAUUGGAGUAGGUCUUCAAUUUAUAUGAAUACCUUGAACCUCAUAUUUACCUAGGGCAUUAAGUGUAUCAGCAC